rnacentral:misc_RNA from 1 species
CUGAAGUCCGGGGGAGUGCUGGCCACCAUCCUGGCAUGUGCACCCUCCUUUCUUCAUCCACACACACCUGUGCACCUCACGAGGUGGGGAUUCCCAUGUCUGGAGCAGGCCCGGUCUGGCCCAUGGCUGGAUCGAGUGGGUCCUUCGACCCCUGGCCCGAAGACCCGCCUACACUUUUCAUAAACACUUUGUAUGACUUGGAACGUAGUCGCGGCUCCGCCGCACAAUCUAUACA